GCUGAAUUCUACCAAAAACAAGGUUGUUUACAUGUGAUGUUCAAUUUCUUAGGAAACCUGGAGGAUGUAGAAGGAGUCGAUGCAAUAGUGAGAACUAUUGGUAAGCUCACUGAUUUAGAGCAGAAAGAUAGAAUAAAAUCCCACAACCAGUACAUUAAAGAAAUCACUUCCACUGGUGUGCGUAUAAUAUCAAUACACAGAAUAAAAAAAGAAGGGCCAACAAAUCAAGGUGUCUGGAGUACACCUGAAAAAAAACGAUCUCAAACCAACGGUGUCUUAUUUGGACAAUUUUGAAAUGGAUGCUAUUCGCAACAAUAUUAAUAAAUUUUAUAUUGUUAGAAAACAAAUUCCAACAUUGAGAACACUUUCGCUGGAAUUAAGAGAAAGUAUAGGAUUUACUGGAUGUCGGGAAACUCUUCGCCGAAUAUUAUUGGGUAAUGGCUAUGAAUUUAAGAAAAACAAAAAUGAACGUUCUUUGUUAAUUGAGCGCAAUGACAUAUCUGCCUGGAGACAUUACUAUUUAAGAUCUAUAUCGUUGCAACGUGCAGAAAGAAAGCCAAUAAUUUCUUUAGAUAAAAAAUGGCUGAUCACCAUGAUAUUAUAUGCCAACUUCAAUAAGUGGUUAGAAGAAAAGCUCCUACCCAAUUUAAAUGAGCAAAGGCCAUUAUAUGAAGCCGAUGAAAUUUUAAAGCACAAUGGUCAUGAGGUAUUGAGACUACCUCCAUACCAUUGUGAUCUAAAUGCCAUUGAGCUGGUAUGGAGUCUGGGAAAACGCAGAGUAGCUAAUAAAAAUAUUGAAUUGACUUCAUAAUAGUUAGAACAAGUGAUUAAAGAGUCAUUUGAAAAUUUAACAGCAGAAGAGUGGAAGAAAAUGACUGAUCAUGUUGUACAUGUGGAAAAUAAAUAUAAAGAAAGGGACAGGACGACAGAGGAACAAUUAGAAAGUUUC